GUGCCUACGGCACGCAGCAGUGAGGAAUAUUGGUCAAUGGGCGGAAGCCUGAACCAGCCAAGUCGCGUGAGGGAAUAAGGCCCUACGGGUCGUAAACCUCUUUUGCCGGGGAGCAAGGGCCGGGACGAGUCCCGGUCCGGAGAGUACCCGGAGAAAAAGCAUCGGCUAACUCCGUGCCAGCAGCCGCGGUAAUACGGAGGAUGCGAGCGUUAUCCGGAUUUAUUGGGUUUAAAGGGUGCGUAGGCGGGCUUUUAAGUCAGCGGUAAAAAUUCGGGGUUCAACCCCGCCCGGCCGUUGAAACUGGG
rnacentral:rRNA from 1 species